UGAAUUGCAGGAUUAUUAAGGUCUGGAAAAGUUUCAGCCUGAGAUGGACCAACUAUCUGAGGCCAAACUUGAAGAGAGGUCUUUUAUCAUAAUAUGAGGAGAAGAUAUGCGGGAUGAAGAGAUCGAAACAAAGUGAAAGCUUUUCACUGUGAAUUUUACAACCGCUGCCUUGCUGCUUUGUUAGGAAAUGGUGCCUUUCAGAGUUUGUCAUUUUUGGUUGGGGUUUUUUCAAGCUGCUGUGUUAAAAAAGUUUAGAUUGGACUCUCAUUACAGCAUUGUAAUCUGCUCUUGCUGCUGCAUUUUGAAUAAACACUUUGAUGUCCGGUCCCAGAAAAAGUGAACCCCAUGGUCUCCGUGAUCGAAUGCUGCACACCAUGCUGCAUAUUUUUUUGUUUGAACAUCUAUGGUUGACGACUUGCCUGCUCAAACACCACUUUUUCUGUGUUUUGCUAACUGCUAAGUGAGUUACGCUUGAAACAGUGGGUCUCGCUGCAACGCGCGAGACUUAUUUUCU